UUUCUGGUCAAGUUAUAAAGAGCAUAGGGUGAAUGCCUUGGCACCAGGAGCCGAAGAAGGACGUGGUAAGCUGCGAUAAGCCUCGGGGAACUGCAAGCAAGUUUUGAUCCGGGGAUUUCCGAAUGGGGAAACCCACCUAGGGUAAUACUUAGGUACCCACUACUGAAUCCAUAGGUAGUGAGGAGGCAUACCAGGGGAACUGAAACAUCUAAGUACCCUGAGGAAAAAGAAAGAAAAACUCGAUUCCCUAAGUAGCGGCGAGCGAAAGGGGAUUAGCCCAAACCCUAGAAAAAAUUUUUUUUUCUAGGGGGUUGCGGAUAUACUCAUAAGAGCGAAGAAUUUGUAGCCGAAGAGGUCUGGAAAGGCCCACCAUAGGAGGUAAUAGUCCUGUAGGCGAAACAAAGUUUAGCUUGAGUAUACUCCAGAGUACCACGAGACACGUGAAACCUUGUGGGGAAGCAGGGGGACCACCCCCAAGGCUAAAUACUACCUGGUGACCGAUAGCGCAUAGUACCGUGAGGGAAAAGGUGAAAAGAACCCCGGGAGGGGAGUGAAAUAGAACCUGAAACCCUAUGUUUACAAGCAGUGGAAGUUCUUUAUAUGAACGACCGCGUACUUUUUGUAGAACGGGCCAACGAGUUACGGUAUGCAGCAAGGUUAAGUAGUUAAGCUACGGAGCCGCAGCGAAAGCGAGUCUGAAUAGGGCGAUUUAGUUGUAUGCCGUAGACCCGAAACCGGGUGACCUAUCCAUGAGCAGGUUGAAGCGGAAGUAAAAAUUUCGUGGAGGACCGAACCCAUGUCUGUUGAAAAAAAGGCUGGGAUGACUUGUGGAUAGCGGAGAAAUUCCAAUCGAACUCGGAGAUAGCUGGUUCUCCCCGAAAUAGCUUUAGGGCUAGCCUCAAAGUUAGUGAUACGGAGGUAGAGCACUGAAUGUCCUAGGGGCCCUCACCGGUUACCGAAGACUAUCAAACUCCGAAUGCCGUAAUCAUAUCUUUGGGAGUCAGACUAUGUGUGAUAAGAUUCAUAGUCGAGAGGGAAACAGCCCAGACCGUCAGCUAAGGUCCCUAAGUACAGGUUAAGUGGAAAAAGGAUGUGGGAUUGCAUAGACAACUAGGAUGUUGGCUUAGAAGCAGCCACUCAUUUAAAAGAGUGCGUAAUAGCUCACUAGUCGAGUGAUCCUGCGCCGAAAAUUACCGGGGCUCAAACCUGUCACCGAAGCUACGGCUUGUCGUAGUAUGAAUACUGAUUUUAGAAAAGAGCAAAGGAAGAAGGUAAGUUUUGCCGAAGGUAUCCUACGGAUACAAGCAAAGGCCUUCGGCCAAAUAACCAAAAAGCUCAAACAAAGCUCUAAGGUUAGUAUUCAUAUUACGACAGGGGUAGGGGAGCAUUCUAUACGGGCUGAAGUCAUACCGAAAGGAAUGGUGGACUGUAUAGAAGAGAGAAUGUUGGCAUGAGUAGCGAGAGGUAGGUGAGAAUCCUACCCGCCGAAAAACCUAAGGUUUCCUGAGGAAGGUUCGUCCGCUCAGGGUUAGUCGGGGACCUAAGCCGAGGACGAAAGUCGUAGGCGAUGGACAACAGGUUGAAAUUCCUGUACCACCGAAAAAUCGUUUGAGCAAUGGGGGUGACACAGGAGGAUAGGCUAAGCGCACCGUUGGUUGUGUGCGUCUAAACCCGUAGGGGAGUCUAUGUAGGCAAAUCCGCGUAGGCAAUCCUGAAAGGUGAUGGGGAGCGAAAUAUAGUAGCGAACUUGCUGAUUCCACACUGUCGAGAAAAGCCUCUAGCGAGAUCUAGGUGCCCGUACCGCAAACCGACACAGGUAGGUGAGGAGAGAAUCCUAAGGCGAGCGAGAGAACUAUUGUUAAGGAACUCGGCAAAAUGACCCCGUAACUUAGGGAGAAGGGGUGCCACGGUAGGGUGUUAAAGCCCGAGGUGGCCGCAGAGAAUAGGCCCAAGCGACUGUUUAGCAAAAACACAGGUCUCUGCUAAGUCGAAAGACGAUGUAUAGGGGCUGACGCCUGCCCGGUGCUGGAAGGUUAAGGGGACGUGUUAACGUAAGUGAAGCACUGAACUUAAGCCCCAGUAAACGGCGGCCGUAACUAUAACGGUCCUAAGGUAGCGAAAUUCCUUGUCGGGUAAGUUCCGACCCGCACGAAAGGCGUAACGAUUUGGGCACUGUCUCAACAAUAGACUCGGUGAAAUUGUAGUACCGGUGAAGAUGCCGGUUACCCGCAGCAGGACGGAAAGACCCCGUGGAGCUUUACUGUAGCCUGACACUGGAUUUUGGUAUUACAUGUACAGCAUAGGUGGGAGACUUAGAAGCAUGUACGCCAGUAUGUGUGGAGUCGCCGUUGGGAUACCACUCUUGUAAUACUGAAGUUCUAACCAGAAGCUGUGAAUCCAGCUUUGGGACACUGUCAGGUGGGCAGUUUGACUGGGGCGGUCGCCUCCUAAAAGGUAACGGAGGCGCCCAAAGGUUCCCUCAGCGCGGUCGGAAAUCGCGCGUAGAGUGUAAAAGGCAGAAGGGAGCUUGAUUGCGAGACUUACAAGUCGAGCAAGGACGAAAAGUCGGGCUUAGUGAUCCGGUGGUUCCGAGUGGAAGGGCCAUCGCUCAACGGAUAAAAGCUACCCCGGGGAUAACAGGCUUAUCUCCCCCAAGAGUCCACAUCGACGGGGAGGUUUGGCACCUCGAUGUCGGCUCGUCUCAUCCUGGGGCUGAAGUAGGUCCCAAGGGUUGGGCUGUUCGCCCAUUAAAGAGGCACGCGAGCUGGGUUCAGAACGUCGUGAGACAGUUCGGUCCCUAUCCGCUGUGGGCGCAGGAAAUUUGAGAGGAGCUGUCCUUAGUACGAGAGGACCGGGAUGGACGUACCUCUGGUGUAUCAGUUGUCGCGCCAGCGGCAUGGCUGAGUAGCUAUGUACGGACGGGAUAAGCGCUGAAGGCAUCUAAGCGCGAAGCCCCCCUCAAGAUUAGAUUUCCCAUGACGUAAGUCAGUAAGACCCCAGAAAGACCAUCUGGUUGAUAGGCCUAAGGUGUAAGGGCAGUAAUGUCUUAAGCUGAUAGGUACUAAUAGGUCGAGGACUUGACCAAAU
rnacentral:rRNA from 1 species